AAACACAACAAAACCCAAAGACAUAUAAGUAAGCAACAGCACGGGUGGGCCGCGUAUGAUAAAUUACGCGUGUUGUCAAGCUUGAGCGGCUCCAGUGGGAAAGAAGCUCCCGCCCACUGUGGUAAGAAAGACGCUGGACAGAUGUGCUGAACCCCACUCUGCUGACCAGUGUUUUGCCUGCACAUAUCUAUGUGUGCCACAUGUGUACCUGAUGCCUGUGGAGAAGAGAAAAGAACAUCAGAUCCACUGGAACUGGGAUUACAGAAGGCUCACUGGAGCAUCGGUCCUGGACAUGCCGAGCUGCCCAAGCUCUCAAUCACAGAGGGAUACAGCCCAGAACAGCCAAUCCUCCUGUUUCAGCCACUGACUGCUCCCGUCACAUUCAGCAGUGUUCUCAAAUGACUCCACA